GAGCCAUUAGAAGAGAGUCAAGCCUCAGGAUGAAGAAGCAAGAGCAAGACCUGCAUCCCUGCCGAGAGACAAAGAGGAAUUUGAAGUUAUACUGUAAUUAGCACCAUCUGGUCCUAUGGGCCCAGAUAGGCCUCAAAUGCACAAAUGUGAUUUCAGUAAUUUUCUCAAGAUUUUGCUGGGAGUUAAUGACAGAGUUAAAAAUGCAAUUUACAUCUCCUAACCUGGUCUGUAUUCCUCCUACCUUAACAUAAUGCCUGCUUGCAUUAUCCCUCCGUGAAAUGAGAAAAGAAUAUGGAAGAGAUCAAAAGUAACAGUCUCUUCAGGCUAUCGGCCCAAAAUAAAGCCCCAGGAGACCCUCCCUGCACAGAUCCUAACUACACGGAAUUUAUCUUCUGAGUGGGCAGGAGAGUGUACAUUAAUGGAUACCACUGAGACACUUUUCCUGCCCUACUUGUAACAAGACUCAAGUGUGACCUGAAUGGCUCCCUGGUGUUUGGAUUUAUAUUCUUCUCAGAGGCAUUAGAGAUCUGGUCACCCCGUUUCAUUGCACACCGGUGAUGCUCCUGAACUUAUAUUUGGAUAUUAUCUGAAAUGUGAGCAGUAGGGGAAAGAAAAAAAAAAAACUACAAAGAGCUUUGAGAAGGAUGAUUGUUAAAGAUGUUUCUCAUAUGCAAUCUAUUUCUCAUUUAGUUCUUUUCUACACCAUGAAGCAAAAGGAUGAACUAAAUCUGGGUAUUUUUGAGAGUGAUCCAUUUUGUACCUUGAGGUUCUUCUUCGAACAAGAUUGGCUGUACACUUCCUAGAAGCAAAUUCAUUCUGUAUUUGAAAAGAU